AUAGGUUUGGGGAGCACAUAACUUGCUCUUCCAGGAAUUUUAAUAUAAUUGAUUAUUUGGGCAAUAAUAGUCCAAAUGUUGAAUGAAUAAAAGCAUAACCUCAGUUCCAAAAUCAAAGCACAGAGCUAUUUUAAAUGCAAGGAGAAUGCAAAAAAGGGAAUCCUAUAACCAUUACAGAGCAACUAAAAUGAUGCCUAUUUUCUCUUCAUAAGAGAUUCAAAGAGAUUACUGACAUAUAACACUAAAUUCAUUUGCACAGCAAGUGUAAUUUAUAAUAAAUAUGGUCAAAAUACAUGAAUUCUGAAACACUACAGACAGAAAAGCAUCCUGUAUAAUACUGGUUACAAAACCAAGCUGGAUCAUCAAAUUGAAACGUCUUCCAUUUUGAUUUGGAAAUAAAAUGAGAAUAAAACACCAAUCUUCAUGAGAGACCUCAUCUCACACCAGACCCAUCUGCCAGAUCCUGGUGGUCUGCUUUCUAGGAUUAUUUAAUGGCCAUUGAACCACAAACCACUCUCACUCUACAGAAACCCUUUUCCCACCGAAAAAUUAAGCUCAAGGAGUCUAAAGGCUUAUUCCACCUGACUCUAAGGUCAGGACUUCUGGUAAAUAUAGUGGCAACUUUGUGUCAAGAUUAAGAGGAAAAACAUCUUAUAGUCUUAAGAGAGUAAUUUUGCAUUUUUACAUUACUGCUAGAAUGAAACACUUUACUCUAAAAAUUUGUUCCUGGGGUUUUGCAGACUCAUUCAUCAUCAGAAGAACUCAGACCAGCAGAAAUUGGUUCCUUACUGCAUCAAAUAAAACCUGCAUUGUACAAGAUCCAUUUGUAUUGUCAUCUGUGGAGGAAGUAAAGAUCCAGAAAAAGUGGUUCCCACUGCCAUGUGAAGCAUGCUUGUUAAACAAGGAUUACAGAUUAACCAGCAUUAUGCCUGACCUUUAGAGGCUGAUCCACCACCAUGUCCAGAAAUUUAUUAAAUGUUAAUUUCAUAUGGUACAGCCAUUCACAUACAGGCAUUAGACUGAGCAGUGUUUUACUCUAUUUAAAACACCUUCUUAAAUGCCUCCUAAGAAAUCACUAUAACUUUAUCUAAUAUUAAAUGACCAAGCUCAAAUAUGACCAUUUUCCCACUUCAUGGCACAGUCAGAUGUCUUCAUUUAAAAAAAUUCCACACAGUCAAAGGCAAAGAAAACUGAGUAAGCAGUACAUCAAACUCAAUUAUAUUUCAAAGACAGGGCCUCUUUGGUUUGUUCUACUUGUCUCUGAUUGCCUGCAAAAAGCUCACAAAGAAGCUUUGAAAUUACCAUCCCAGUAAGAUUCCCACACUCUCAAUGUUUGUGUUACUGCAGCCUGGCUGACCACAGACUCAACAAAAGCCUAACAUACUGACUUUCAUAAAAGCAGCUACAUCCCUACUUCAGCUGGAGAUACUUUAUUCAUUAAGACAGGAUAAACUAAAAACAAGACAGAGACACUAAUACUUACUUCCAAAUGAUUUAGAGCUAUUACAUUUUAUGCACGCUAACACAGCCUAAAAAGUUUUAACUUGGUAACUUUGGCAUUUAGAUUCCAUCUUAGUUAAAUAAUUUUGAAAAUUAGCUCUCAAAACCCAAGACAGUGGUAAUCCAGAACAUGAGGUGCCACUUGUCUUUUCAAAAAACUUGCUUGACUUUACUGAACUUAGGCAUGUAACAGAAUGGGAUAGUGACUUUGCACACAAUAUCUGCUUUUAGAGCCAUCUUCCCACUAUCUUUCCACAUUAAAGUUUCAGAACUAACAUAUAAGAGGCAAAAGUUUUAUUUUUAAACUGAAGAAUGCAGAGAGAGAUGGACCUCUUCUGCUCUGGCCAGCAGCUUUCUUUUUGUACACAUGAAGAAAUUUGCAGGAAAACAAUGACAACAAUGUUUGUUUUGACACAAGUCUCAAAAGCACUUAACAAAGAAACUUGGCUUUCUAGCAAUAUGGAACAGGCCAAGGACCACACUGAAGCUUGCUGAUUAAUGGAUAGGAGAAAUUCAAAUUGAGUUCACCUCAAACACUGAGCUGGCAGCUGAUGUGAAGAAAAUCAGCCUCAGUACUGCAGAGCUGUCAAGGAAGACUCUCUCAAGUUAUUGCUAUUGAUUUGUAGGAACAUGACGACCUGUGUUGUGUGUCAAGGAGUCUCUGGUUAGGGGGUGUAGCUGAUGCUGGUGACUUACCGGAAAAUAUUCUCAACAGGACAAUCUGCACUAGUAAUUAUACCCUAUCUUGCACUACAGUAAACACAUCAUCCUAAACACCAGAGAACUGUGGCAAUCCACUUCAAAAUCAGCAGAACAGCAAUGUUCAGAGGUUUGGAAGAGGGGGUCGGUUUCUUCGUUUGUUGUGUUUCCUUUGUUUGUUGUUGUGCAUUUUUUUUAUUUUUAAUUAAAAAAAAACAAUGCAAAUAUCAAGGAAGCUGACAGAACAGACAAGGGAAGAUAAAACACUAUAGAUAGAAAAAGAAUAGCUCUACGCACAAAAAAAAAAAAAAAGGCACUGAAAAAUGUGAGAGUCACAUUAAUAGAAACUACAUUAUGCAAAUAGUCUGCUAUUCAUAUUUCAUUCAUCAACUUGGGAAACACAGAUGUUAGAAAGUAUCUAGAAUACUACUGAUUUUCAUUAGACAAAAAGUCACUUAAAAGAUUCAAAGCUUGCUAAAUGGGAUUCAGUUUUCCUACAGCUUCUACAGCUUUUCCAUAUACAGAUAUCUAAGAGAUCCCAGAUCAAAUCAGCCUCAGCUACCUGAGGUAGCUCACACGUACCAGCUAGAUCAGGAAUCCAGAAUUCACCUGGUCUGCUCACACAGAGCCCAGCAGCAGGUGAGUCUCACACUGAUGGACCUGCAUGUGCAAGGCUAUGUGCAGAGCUGAGGUGACAAUUCACACAGCUCAGGUGACAGUGUGCACUGUGCCACACAGGUGACAGUGUGCACCGUGUCACACAGCUCAGGUGACAGUGUGCACCGUGUCACACAGGUGACAGUGUGCACCGUGUCACACAGCUCAGGUGACAGUGUGCACCGUGCCACACAGCUCAGGUGACAGUGUGCACCGUGUCACACAGCCCAGGUGACUGGAUGGCUACAGGGGAGACACCACAGAGAUGCAGCCACAUCAUUCACACCACACAGGCACCAGAAAUGAAGUCUGUGCAGCCAGCACACCCUGUCUUCUCUCUCCCCUCCUCCUCACCUGAUUGUUGGAUCAAGCAGUUUAAAGAAGAUAUGAAAUAUCUAAUCAUAAUACUAAAAAAAAAAAAAAAAGCUUUCACUUCUGUAAUGUAAACUUUAACAAAGGAAAAAGCAAUCUUUUAUUUGACUGAUUUUAGGGUAACUCAGUAAUCUCAACCAAAUGCAUCUUUCACAAGUCUUUUUCUCUAGGGAACACAGGUGAGAACAGUGUUCUCACUGUGAAAGUAAACUCAUUCACAACACCAAUAUUCUUUUCAUAAUAAAAUUAAACACCAAAUCAAGGAACUUAACUAAUACUUCCAGGAAAAAAAAUUUACACCAAAAGAAAAAGUUAUGACCAAAUCUAAAAUUAGAAAAAUGUAGAAAUGAGAGAACUCCUGAGUUCAGGUCAGUAAAAUUAAGUUCUUAAUCUUAUCCAAAACUUUUGCUGACUUUAUGCCAAGCUGUAUAUAACUACUGCUACAUUCUUUCCAAUCAAAAACAAAAAUGCAGAUCUAAUCAACAGAAAGGAGAGCAGAGAUCCUACCAAACAGCAUUUGUCAACAUCAUCCUUAAUAAUGAGUAACUUGUCCAGUGUAUUCCUCUGCAAUAUUUCCCCUUUAGAACUCACCUUUAUUUAUAUAGCACACUGUAUAGAAUCCUAGGGAAAAUACCUUGGUGCAGGAAUGAAACAUAGCAAGUGUAAAAGAAUCGGUAAAUCAGUUCUUAAAAAAACCUCAUCCAGCUCCAUAAUCAAAAUUUGUCGACAGAAAACUCCAAUAAAUGAGCCUCAAACAGUCCACGGGUGCACAUGCAUAAUUUGGCAUUUGUAUUUAGUUUUUGUUAAGUGCAUUUUGCAAACUAACAAGUGCUUAAUUGGCCUAAGUAUAAGACAGUCCUGAAUAUCAAGUGACUCAUUCUGCAGGAGCAAAUAAAGAGAAAAAAAAAAAAGAAGACUGAAUUGCACCAGAGCACCUAAACCUGGCAUAUGUCAGUCUUGCUGAAAAACCCCAGCAAAGUGCCCCUGGAACAUCAGGAAAUUUUAGAUGUCUCAGUGCAAAAUCACUUUAAAGGAGCCAGCACAGUCCACAGCAACCCAAACUGCAGUGCCUUGAGUCCCAGCUGAGGAGCCAAGUCAGAGCUGGAGAGCCCCUGCAUGGAUUCAGAGCCUCAUCCUAAGCAACACCAGCAUUUCUCAGCUGCAGGACUGCACACAAGAUUAGCCCAGAAAAUGAGAUCAGAAAAUCAAAGACCAAACAAAACACACUUUUGUUCAUUCUAGAGUCAAAGGGAUCAGGAGAAGAGUCCUGGGACACACAGACACUGGGAAUUAUAACAGAAAGUCAUUUUGAUCUUGAAGGUGGCAUGGACAUCAUCAAUUAAUCACAGCUUCUGCUUCACUAAAUACUCCUUAAAGGAAGAGGAAGAAAGAAUCUGAAUAGGAAAGAAUGAUGAGGGCUGUUAAAAACAAAAGACAAUAAUAUUCAGCAUUCCAUGAGUAUUAAUGUGGAUUGAGAAUCUUUUUCAUUUUAACAAUGCUCUCGACAAAUAACUCUUGCAAAAAACUUCAAUUACUCUCUUAAAAUGACAAUGAUUUUGUUCUCUGGGAUAGGAGAAAAUCAUCAUAUUCUCAGUCAUU